CGUUCGGCGGCUGGGGCGCACGUCGGGCGCGGCGUGUUCGCGGAAAUGGUGCGUUUGCGGUGCGGCGGGGGUCGGACUGGACCGGACCGGACACCGUUUACCACGCUGUCCUCGCCUCGUUUUACAACAGUUUUUUCUCCGCUUUCCCACGGCAGCGUUUCCGUCCCGCUGCGAGACUGAAACUGAUGCAGCGUCACGUUUGGUGUAAUCUUGUUGGGUUGUGCUCCUUCUGUGGAUGAACAGACGCCAAUAAUAUUAAGUAUACUUCUCUCUGAGUUGCUUGGUGUUUAAGUAUAGUAUAUACACAAAUAUUGGUCAUGAUCUUCCCAUGAUCGGCAUCUUAGAUACACGACUAUCAAUUCUGGUUUUAGUGGAAUCCAAUUUGGGCAAGUGGGAUCCUGAUAGGAUGGCCCAUCAUAAAUGAUUUCUCGAGAUCUAGGACAUAAUAAUUUCCAAAAAAUCAGCGGCGUCCUCGCAAGAAAGAAAGAAAGAAAGAAAAACCGCGUCGAUCGCGCACCAAUCUCGGGGAAACCGCGAUGCGGGCAAUGAAUACCUACGACUUUUGCAGGCAUUAAAUCUAGACGAGGAGGCACGAGGGUCUCUACGAUCCAUCCGCUUCUCCCCUUCCGACCUCUGUCUCAGAUCUCAGCAACGAAAGGGCCUUGGGCGUGGGAGGAGCACAUGGCGGCGAUAGCGAAUCACGGGUAUUGGGCAUGGGGGGAGCGCAUGGCGGCGGCGAUCGCGGGCGGCGACGAGAAAAAGAUGACGAUGCUUCACCAUAUCUAUAUGUGGUACAAGGAUGCGGAGGAGAUGCAUCGGGAUUCACGCCUGGUGAUUCGAGAAGCUUCGAAGGAGGAACGGAUUCAGAUCAAGGGGAAGUCCCCGCUCGAGAUCAUCUAUUGGGCGAUGAUGGAGGGGAAAUCCGAUGAUCUGGGGCGCGCAUGGUGGAAACCUUACGCAUCACGCGAUUGGGUUUUGUCCGACCUAGACAGGGAUGAUUUGGGGGUGGUGAUCAUGACAGUGAGGUCGUCGCCACGCAGUCUGGCGACGCCCGUCGUGACCGACAACGGCGUGCGGGUGGUGCCUAGGAAGAAGGUGGUCCGGGUGGUUUCACAACUGCCGCGUCGCUCUCCUCGGUUCCCCCGACGUUCUGCACGGAUCCAGGCGCUUGCACGGAGCGUCGACGAUGAGUAGGUGUCUCCCUGGCUAGCAGUCAAUUUUGGCUGCUAGCCGGGAAGGAGUCCGACGAUGAGGACUCAUGCGUGCCGUUUUGCUGCUUCGUUUUACAAUAAAGGAGGGAAAUCAAACGGUGUAGAUGCGGGGAGCAAAAUUCUUGGGAGCAGGUGGCGGGUGAAGCAUACAGUGCAUCACAGGGGUGGCAUCGUCCGGGGGUUUUGAGGAUCACCGGCUAAACUUCCUCGCCUGGCUACGUCCCUGGCAUGGUGCACAACUCCUAUGUCGGCAUUGCUUCUGGAUGCGUUGAUUCUUCUUUGACGACCCAUCUAUCAGACCGAGUUUUAUGAUUGUUCUUCGGUUAAAUUGUUGUGCACCAUUGGUGUGUAACAAUAACUUGGAUUUUGGUGAUUUGUUGCCUGUUUAGUCAGUUUGGUAUUCAGUAUUAGGGGCUUGUGAUUGAUCAAACCAAACGAUUUCUUUAAUGGUAAAACA